rnacentral:rRNA from 1 species
GAUGCGUUCCAUUAGAUAGUAGGCGGGGUAACGGCCCACCUAGUCUUCGAUGGAUAGGGGUUCUGAGAGGAAGGUCCCCCACAUUGGAACUGAGACACGGUCCAAACUCCUACGGGAGGCAGCAGUGAGGAAUAUUGGUCAAUGGGCGAGAGCCUGAACCAGCCAAGUAGCGUGAAGGAUGACUGCCCUAUGGGUUGUAAACUUCUUUUAUAAAGGAAUAAAGUCGGGUAUGCAUACCCGUUUGCAUGUACUUUAUGAAUAAGGAUCGGCUAACUCCGUGCCAGCAGCCGCGGUAAUACGGAGGAUCCGAGCGUUAUCCGGAUUUAUUGGGUUUAAAGGGAGCGUAGAUGGAUGUUUAAGUCAGUUGUGAAAGUUUGCGGCUCAACCGUAAAAUUGCAGUUGAUACUGGAUAUCUUGAGUGCAGUUGAGGCAGGCGGAAUUCGUGGUGUAGCGGUGAAAUGCUUAGAUAUCACGAAGAACUCCGAUUGCGAAGGCAGCCUGCUAAGCUGCAACUGACAUUGAGGCUCGAAAGUGUGGGUAUCAAACAGGAUUAGAUACCCUGGUAGUCCACACGGUAAACGAUGAAUACUCGCUGUUUGCGAUAUACAGCAAGCGGCCAAGCGAAAGCGUUAAGUAUUCCACCUGGGGAGUACGCCGGCAACGGUGCAACUCAAAGGAAUUGACGG